CCAAGAAAAGUUAAUAAGCUGGAAUCAGCUUUCUGGAGUGCAAAUAGGACACAGGUUUGGCUUUGGUCAGUACUAUCCUCUCAGGAAACAAACAGGAACUCAGGGCACGUGUAGGCUGAUCUUCUCACUCUUCUGCUCUUCUUGUCACAGAAAAUUGGUCACAAUUCCCUGAAGAUCCUUCCAAAUCCAUUGGUCAUGCCUACAUCUGCAUGUGCAGCAAGCUCCACAAUCCCAUCUUGGGGAAUUAAUGGCUUCUCUUUCUCUCAAAGCAUUUUGGAAGGGAUUCCAAAUCAGAGGGGCUGAAAGGUGAGCUACAGGUGUGCUACUGGAAAUGCUUGAAGGUUUCUGACAACCUGGACUAGUGGAAUGUGUUCCUGACCAUGGGAGAGGGGUGGAAUGAGAUCAGUUUUUAGGUGCCUUCCUAAAAAGGGCAGUCUGUGAUUCAGUGAAUCUGUGCUGCCUCCUUCCAUACUCUUCCCACUGUCAUAAGCUUCCUCCAUCACCUCUGCAGGUGCCAGCAGUCACCAGGCAGCAGAAGCCAGCUCAGGAAGGAAAAAAGCAGAAGCAAGAGGUCAUUAAAGAACCCACUGAGAGGGAGGACUUUUCCAAGGAAGCAUAGCCAAAACCAGGGAAGAGGGAGGAGCACAGAGGACAGGACUGACACCCUCACAGCUCAGCAACAGCAACCCAUUGGAUCCACAGAAUCAUGAAAUCAGAGAAUCACUAAGGUUGGAAAAGCCCUCUGGGCCCACUGAGUCCAGCUGCUCCCCCAGCACUUCCAAGGCCACCACUGACCCCUGUCCCCACGUGCCACAUCCAUGUGGCUGUUAAAUCCCCCCUGCCCCGAGGCAGUCUGUUCCAGGGCUGCACAGCCCUUUGCAGGUGAGUUUUUUCCAGUAUCCAACCUAAACCUCUCCUGGAACCACCUGAGGCCGUUUCCUCUCAUCCUGUCACUUGUUUCCUGAGCAGACCCUGACCCCCACCUGGCUGUGUCCUCCUGUCAGGGAGCUGCAGAGAGAAGAUCCUCCCUGUGCCUCCUUCUCUCCACAGCUGCUGCUGUGGCUCCAGACCCUCCUCCAGCUCUGUUCCCUUCUCUGGACACACUGCAGCCCCUCAAUGGGGCCCCUCCUUUCUUGUUGGGAAGAGCCCAAACUUGCCCCCAGGACUGGAGGUCCCUCAGCAGCGCCCAGCACAGGGGAUGGUCACUGCCCUGGGUGUCUGGUCACUCUGCUGCUGCUACAAGCCAGGUGCCACUGGCCUCUUACCCACCUUGCCACACUUGGUCUCAUGUUCAGCUACUGUCAUCAGCACCAGCACUAGGUGACCUUUCCCAGCUUUCCAGCCACUCUGCGUGGAGCACUACAGGGAGUUGCUGUGACCCAGGUUACCACAGAAGUUUAAUUGUACACUGAGAAAACAGACUGCUGACACGACACCGCAUCUGGUGACACUGACAACGGAAAGACUGAAGACCUUUAGACAGAAAAACGCGCAAGUGAAGUGCCAGGCUCCCGUCCCCUCCCCGGCUCACCGGCGGGAGGCCAGCAGGAUCUCGGGCGCUCGGUACCAGCGCGUGGCCACGUACUCGAAAACUGGAGUGAAGGAUACAGACCAUGACUGAAAUGUACCUUCUGAUCCCUGUGAAUAACAUUCCCUGAGUGGAUGAAUUUAGUUGCCUUCAGAAGUUGGUAGAGAAUGUAACAUUUGUGGAUGUCUUUCA